GAUGAACGCUGGCGGCGUGCCUAAUACAUGCAAGUCGAGCGAACAGACGAGGAGCUUGCUCCUCUGACGUUAGCGGCGGACGGGUGAGUAACACGUGGAUAACCUACCUAUAAGACUGGGAUAACUUCGGGAAACCGGAGCUAAUACCGGAUAAUAUAUUGAACCGCAUGGUUCAAUAGUGAAAGACGGUUUUGCUGUCACUUAUAGAUGGAUCCGCGCCGCAUUAGCUAGUUGGUAAGGUAACGGCUUACCAAGGCGACGAUGCGUAGCCGACCUGAGAGGGGGAUCGGCCACACUGGAACUGAGACACGGUCCAGACUCCUACGGGAGGCAGCAGUAGGGAAUCUUCCGCAAUGGGCGAAAGCCUGACGGAGCAACGCCGCGUGAGUGAUGAAGGUCUUCGGAUCGUAAAACUCUGUUAUUAGGGAAGAACAAAUGUGUAAGUAACUAUGCACGUCUUGACGGUACCUAAUCAGAAAGCCACGGCUAACUACGCG
rnacentral:rRNA from 1 species